CUGUUAGGGUCUGUUAGGGUCUGUUAGGGUCUGUUAUAUGGUCUGUGUUAGGGUCUGUUAUUAUGGUCUGUUGUUAUGGUCUGUUAUUAUGGUCUGUUAUGGUCUGUUGUUAGGGUCUGUUAUUAUGGUCUGUUGUUAAGGUCUGUUGUUAAGGUCUGUUAGGGUCUGUUAGGGUCUGUUGUUAGGGUCUGUUUUAUGGUCUGUUAGGGUCUGUUGUUAUGGUCUGUUAGGGUCUGUUGUUAGGGUCUGUUAUUAUGGUCUGUUGUUAGGGUCUGUUGUUAGGGUCUGUUAGGGUCUGUUGUUAUGGUCUGUUGUUAAGGUCUGUUAGGGUCUGUUAGGGUCUGUUGUUAAGGUCUGUUAGGGUCUGUUAGGGUCUGUUGUUAUGGUCUGUUAGGGUCUGUUAUUAUGGUCUGUUAGGGUCUGUUGUUAGGGUCUGUUAUUAUGUGAUGUUAUUAUGUGUGUGUGCGUGCGGACACACACACAAGCUAAAUAACAACAUAACAAGAUAAAUAACAUCCCAGAGUCCGGUCUAGACCUGGAGCCUGUUGCACAAAGGCAGAAUAAAGAUAUCCAGGAUGAGUGAAAAAGUGCAGCUUGACUUAGUGAGACCUGCUCAUCACGGCUUAAUCGGUUACACGUAGAUAACCAGGAUGAACAGGUGGAGCUAUGUCCAGCCAGGUGGAGAUAACCAGGAUGAACAGGUGGAGCUAUGUCCAGCCAGGUGGAGAUAACCAGGAUGAACAGGUGGAGCUAUGUCCAGCCAGGUGGAGAUAACCAGGAUGAACAGGUGGAGCUAUGUCCAGCCAGGUGGAGAUAACCAGGAUGAACAGGUGGAGCUAUGUC